rnacentral:misc_RNA from 1 species
GAUGAAGAACGUAGUGAAAUGCGAUAAUUAAUGUGAAUUGCAGAAUUCAGUGAAUCAUCGAGUCUUUGAACGCACAUUGCGCCCCCUGGUAUUCCGGGGGGCAUGCCUGUCCGAGCGUCAUUGCUGCCCUCAAGCACGGCUUGUGUGUUGGGCUUCCGUCCCUGGCAACGGGGACGGGCCCAAAAGGCAGUGGCGGCACCAUGUCUGGUCCUCGAGCGUAUGGGGCUUUGUCACCCGCUCCCGUAGGUCCAGCUGGCAGCUAGCCUCGCAACCAAUCUUUUUAACCAGGUUGACCUCGGAUCAGGUAGGGAUACCCGCUGAUCUUAAGCAUAUCAAUAAGCGGAGGA